UUAUGACCGAUGUAGAAGUGAGACCCUAAUAUUCCCGCGACCACCCUGGGACCAUCCCACCCUUUCCCUCAUCAGCAACGUUCCCAGCCGCCGUGAGCAGCGACGGAGAGCGAACUCCGUUGAUCACCAUCGACUGACCGAUCUGUUUGCACACACUCUUCUCCCUACUUGUUAAUCACCAUCGACUGACCGAACCGUUUUCGCUUCGCCCUCCGCCGCGAGCAACGACGGUGAUCGAACCUGGUUGACAAAGUUCUGACCCUCUUCGACGAACAGCGUUAGACGCUCUCGGAGGAGGUCUCUGAAACGUGGUGGUCGUCUUGGUGAAGUUCGUCGUCGACGACAGCAUUUGCAGCAUUUGCUGACGUGUUUGAGGUUGGUGGAAUCAGUUGAGAGUGCCCUCAUUUUGUCUUUAGCUUUGGGUGGUUUCUCUGUCUUUGGUGUAUUUGGUUGAUAACUUUUGUCGCAUAAGCAUUUGAUCGGGAGAUCAAUCUUCAGUCCAACUUCAGCAAUCACAAUCUUUGGUUUGUUUAGAAAGUGCCCCAUCAGUCUUCGAAAAUCCAAUCAAGAAACAGGUGUUGCUGUUUGCAACUUCAAAUGAUUCAGAGAAGUUAAUCUCAGUAUUUCAAGAAGCAGCAAAACCUUUUAAGGGAUAGACUCUAACCUUGGGCAUAAAUAUUGAAGCUACUACUGGGGACCAUAAAAAGGUUUGGGACCAUUAAUUAGAUGGACGUGGCAAGGACACAAACGGGGUCUCUAGAGUUUUAUAUCUUACCAGGGAAUGGGUACAUGGGAAACACAAGGGUAAAAGUCCUUGUGAUGAGUAUAAUAUUGACCCUGAUGAAUGGGAGAAAUUCAAAGAAAUUUGGAAUGACCCUUCUUGGAAGCUUAUAAGAAAAAAAGCGCAGGAUAUCCAGAAACUCAAUGAUUCACCCCACCUAUUGUCUCGUGGGGGUUAUGAGCUACUUGUGAGAAAUUUUAUGAAAAGAGAACUUAAACGACUUAAGGAGGUAGCAAUACAAUCUGGUGCUAGUGAGGAUGUAGUGAUUGAUCCUCCACAUCCUCCUCCACGCCAUAGGUUGUGGAAGAUGGCUUGCACAAAAAGCUCUGGAGAGAUGACUUCUGAGUUUGCUAAUCAAAUUGCAGAAAAAAUUGAGCAAGAAUCACAAGGUUCAUUUAUUCCUAAAGGCCGUCAAGAUAUAUUAAAUAUUGCCUUGGACGACCAGAGCAUCCUGGUCGUGUUCGUACAAUUGGGGUUGGUGCUACUAUUGGUAAUUACUUUGGACCAUUAUCACAGGGGUCAUCCUUAUCUAGAUUGAGCCCACAGGAUCUUGAAGCCCUCACACAACAAAUAUAUGUACGGGUCACACAAAAUUUAAUGGCAAAGUACCCGAAUAUGAGUACUACACAGUCACAGGAUGUUCCUCCAGUUGAGGUAGAUCAUGGUAUCGUGGCCCGUGUUAGCACUAAAGGCUGUUGUCCAACUCCUUCAAGUGCUAUUGUUGCUGGUAAUCCCUUUGGAGAUGAGCUUCAUGCUGAUAUCUCUAAUAAGUGUGAGUUAUGCAUUGAGGGGAUUCCUCCACUUGUAGUGGCCAUUGGGAGAGUUUGUGAGGGGGGUUCAACUAUACACAAUGUGCCUUUGACAAAUGAUUUGGUCAAGGUGGUGAUUGAGGAAGUUCGAGAUUCUAAUGCUCGAGUUCCCAGACCUACUUCAGAGGUUCAGCUGGUUGGGCAGGCCUUACAAACUUUCAUUGCAUGGCCGAGAUAUCUUGUUAGACCUAUUUCAACCACGGAUAUUCAUCGAGCAAAUAAACGAGUUCCAUCUAUUGAUAGGUCGGAACCCAAUGGUGAUCCUAUCAUUAGGUUACGUGAGGCAUCAAAGUGCUUACUUUAUGGACAAUCAUUUCA